rnacentral:rRNA from 1 species
AUAUUGGAAUCUAGUGCACUAUGUACUAACUUCCAGCAACUAAACUCUAAGCGAUCUAGAUUGUUAGUGGCGGACGGGUGAGUAACACGUUGGAACCUACCCCGAAGUGAGGAAUAACUGCCCGAAAGGGUAGCUAAUACCUCAUAGUCUCCGAUUUAUUCGGAGUAAAGAUUUAUCGCUUCGGGAGGGGGCCUGCGUCCGAUUAGCUAGUUGGUGAGGUAAAUGCUCACCCAAGGCGACGAUCGGUAGCUGGUUUGAGAGGAUGACCCAGUCACACUGGGACUGAGAUACGGCCCAGACUCCUACGGGAGGCAGCAGUAAGGAAUCUUCCACAAUGGGGGCAACCCUGAUGGAGCAAUACCGCGUGCAGGAUGAAGCGUUUCGGCGUGUAAACUGCUUUUAUCUGUGAUGAUUAUGACAGUAGCAGAAGAAUAAGGAUCGGCUAACUACGUG